rnacentral:rRNA from 1 species
UACGAGGGGUGCAAGCGUUGCUCGGAAUUAUUGGGCGUAAAGGGUUGGUAGGUGGUCUUGUUUGUCUAAGGUGAAAUCCCAUGGCUUAACUGUGGAAGUGCCUUAGAAACGGCAAGACUAGAGUCCUAGAGGGGUUUGUGGAAUUCCCGGUGUAGCGGUGAAAUGCGUAGAGAUCGGGAGGAACACCAGCGGCGAAGGCGGCAAACUGGAUAGGCACUGACACUCAACAACGAAAGCGUGGGGGAGCAAACAGG